AGCCAGCUACUGUUCUGGCUCCCCUUGUAGCCACACCCACCAGGUCUGCAGUCUUAAUGGAAGGUCAGUAUCAGGGAGGCAGGGAAGGGGGCAGAGAGGGGGUGUGAGAACUCACUCCGCUUAAUUUUGUUGUGAACUUCAAAAUGUUAAUUAAAAUAGAGUUCACUAAGAGGGGCAGUUGGCCUAUCCAUUAAAGACACACGCAUCCCAUAUCAUAAUACCAGUUCAAUACCUGGCUCCUAGGCUGGUGUUGUGGCAGAGCAGCUUAAGCCACCGGCUGUGAUGCCUGCAACCUGUAGGCAGAUGGUUCCUGUCUCAGCUGCUCCACUUCUGAUCCAGCUGCCUGCUAAUGGCCUGGGAAAAGCAGCAAAGGUGGGCCCAAGUGCUUGGCCCCUGUCUUACUCAUGAGGGACCCAGAUGAAGCUCUUGGCUCCUGGCUUAACCUAGCCCACACCAGCCAAUGUGGCCAUGUCGAGAGUGAACCAGCAGAUAAAAUCUCUCUCUCUCUAUCUCUGUUUCUCUCUGUUUCCACCUCUGUCUCUGUAACUCUGACUUUUAAAUAUAAACACGUCUUAAAUAUAUCUAGCUGGCUCCCAACUCCAGCUUCCUGACAAUGCAGAACCUAGGAGGCAUCAGUGGUGGCUGGAGCAGUUGGGUCCCUGCCAACCACAUGGAUAGCUUAGACUGUGCUACCACCUCUCAGGGUUGGUCUGAUCCAGACCAAAUAUGUUACAGGCAUUUCAUGAGUGAACAGGUGGACAGGAUCCCCAUCUCUCUCAUGUAAUACAAGAGCAAGAACAAGAUUUUUGGCUCUUUUUUAUUAUUAUGUAUUUCCAAGAUUGGUCCAUUGAAGUAAUUAUCCCAGCAUGUUCAGAGCAGAAAUGAUUCUUUACUCCUACUAGAAUGUUUCCAUUUGCCAAUACAUCACCUGAUCUUCAUUACAGUAAAAUAACUUUGAUAACUUGAAUUAAAUUAUCCUCAAAACCUUCCCAGUGACUUAUAUAGGAACAUGUAUGCUAAAUAAAUACAUUUUUAGACUUUUUAAAAAUACUUUUUAUUCAUUUAAAAGGAAGAGCUACAGAGAGGCAGAUGUAGAGGUAGAAAGAGAGGGGUCUUCCAUCUGCUGGUUCACUCCCCAAAUGGCUGCAAUAGCCAGAGCUGGGCUGAUCUGAAGCCAGGAGCCAGGAGCUUCUUCUGGGUCUCCCAUGUGAGUACAGGGGCCCAAGAACCUGGGCCAUCUUCUACUGCUUUUCUUGGCCAUAGCAGAGAGCUGGAUCGGAGUGGAGCAGCCAGGACUAGAACUGGUGCCCAUAUGGGGUGCUGGCACUGCAGGCAGUGGCUUUAUCCACUAUUCCACAGUGCCAGCCCCCAUUUUUAGAAUUUUUGUAACUAAGUCCAUCAACAUACAAAUGGGAUUAUCAUGAGACCAACAUCUCCUUGAGAACAUGAGGAAACGUCUUCAUCGUGACUAUGGCCUGGCAUUGCUGACAUGUCUGGGGAUGUCAACCUGUAAGUCUAGUGAUUGACAGAGCUGAGUUGUCUUGUUGCGAUUGCCUUGGACACUGCGCAGAAGAAAAAAACUGACGUGAAUGUCAUUCAGUCUCCAGAACAGGCCCUUCUGCACAGAUGCUCCCACGCGUCAUCUCCAUGUUCUGGGUCUGAGCGCGUAAGCUGAAUGGGGAAGACUCGGAUCUUCUUCAGCAAGCGUGCCUCUGUCAGGGAGAGGAACACAUCCCACAUCAAUGUCGAGGAGCACCAGCAGGGGGCAGAUGAGGGCAUCCUGCAUGUUCUAUGAUCAGGUGCCCACUCCCCUGACUGGGAGAGGAAGGUGGAGUGCGCUGUCCUACCGGUGUGAGGCCGCCCCUGAAGAUGCUAACGCUUCUGCUGCUUCUGGGGCCUGGCUCUGGGCUCGGUGCUCUGGUCCUGCAAAACCCCAGCAGGGCUAUCUGUCAGAGCGGAGCCUCUGUGAGGAUCGAGUGCCGUUCUGUGGGUCUGCAGGCCGUAACCGUGUUUUGGUACCGUCAGCUGCCGAAACAGAGCUUCAUGCUGAUGGCAACUUCCAAUCAGGCCUCCGACGCUGCCUAUGAACAGGGUUUUACCAAAGCCAAGUUUCCCAUCAACCAUCCAAACGCAACCUAUUCAAGUCUGGAGGUGACAAACACACAGCCUGAAGACAUCGGCUUCUACUUCUCCUAUGAGCAGUAUUUCGGUCCCGGCACCAAGCUCACGGUCACAGAGGACCUGGCAAAUGUGAGCCCACCCCAGGUCGUUGUGUUUGACCCAUCAGAAGCAGAGAUCAACAAAACCCAGAAGGCCACGCUCGUGUGCCUGGCCAAAGACUUCUACCCUGACCACGUGGAACUGAGCUGGUGGGUGAACGGGAAGGAGGUCCACAACGGGGUCAGCACGGACCCCCAGCCCUACAAGCAGGACCCCAAGUCCGAUCACUCCAAAUACUGCCUGAGCAGCCGCCUGAGGGUGUCGGCUGCCUUCUGGCACAACCCCCGCAACCACUUCCGCUGCCAAGUCCAGUUCUUUGGGCUCACGGACGACGACAAGUGGACGUACAACAGUAGUAAACCCGUCACCCAGAACGUCAGUGCUCACACCCGGGGCAGAGCAGAUUGUGGCAUCAGCUCGGCAUCCUAUCAGCAAGGGGUCCUGUCUGCUACCGUCCUCUAUGAAAUCCUGCUGGGGAAGGCCACCCUGUACGCUGUGCUGGUCAGCGCCCUGGUGCUGAUGGCCAUGGUCAAGAAAAAGAAUCCCUGAAGCCACUCCACAAGGGUACCCGUUCUUCGUCCUCACCCUGGAUUCUCCGGCACUUGUUACUGAUUUGUGCUCCUGAAAAGUUAUUCCCUCUGCACCUCUCAUCCUCUUUCUGCUGGGUUAUUUGUUUUCCUCUCUGCUACCCCACAGAUUGAGCUCUUAACUCUGAAUGUGAAAUAGAAUGAACAAAUAAAAAUGGUGUGCUGUG